CUACGGGACGCUCCAGUGAGGAAUAUUGCACAAUGGGGGGAACCCUGAUGCAGCAACGCCGCGUGGAGGAUGACGCAUUUCGGUGUGUAAACUCCUUUUAUAUGUCAAGAAAAUGACGGUAGCAUAUGAAUAAGCACCGGCUAACUCCGUGCCAGCAGCCGCGGUAAUACGGAGGGUGCAAGCGUUACUCGGAAUCACUGGGCGUAAAGGACGCGUAGGCGGGUUGGAAAGUCAGGUGCGAAAUCCUACAGCUUAGCUGUAGAACUGCACUUGAAACUUCUAAUCUAGAGUAUGGGAGGGGGAGAUGGAAUUAGUGGUGUAGGGGUAAAAUCCGUAGAUAUCACUAGGAAUACCUAAAGCGAAGGCGAUCUCCUGGAACAUUACUGACGCUAAGGCGUGAAAGCGUGGGGAGCAAACAGGAUUAGAUACCCGCGUAGUC
rnacentral:rRNA from 1 species